AGAUGAUUCACUUUGAAUUGGCUUCCCCUUGAGACAAGGCAGAGGAAGAGCAAGAGCUGUAACGCCUUCCUGCAGCCCCAGGAGCUGGUGAGAUAUGCAAGAGUGAGAAGGUCUGUUUCAAGACCAGGGCUGGCCGGAGUGCUCGUCAGGGGACAGGAGGAGGAGCUCCAGGUCAUCAGCGAGGCUCUUCAAGCCCUGAGAGAAGACGACAGCUGGUCUUCCAAAGAAGAUCCGCAGGACUUCUUUUGUCUGCUGGAUCAGAUGUAGUGGCGUCCAUCGGCGAUCUCCAGCUCCCACGGAAGAUGGGAGCAGCUGCAGAGCAGGAUGUACUAGCUGGAGCUCCAGGCACAGCUCUAGCUGCUCAGAGCUGAGCCUGUGGGAAGCUCCAGGAGCUCCUGCCAUCUCUCUCCCUGUUGGCAGCUCCCUCCCUGCAGCCCUCAGGCCCUGCCUAUUACCUUUUUUGCCUCCCUGCUCACCCCCCUUCCCUUUGCUUUCCCUUAAUAAAAAGAUUGGGUUUUUGCAAAA